AAGACCUUACUUCAUAGGAUCAUUUCUAUAGUAAGCUCUUCAAACGAGAUUCACACUAUGUGAGAAUCCACAAGCCACGAUGAGGAGAUGUGGCGCGGCGCCCUGAGCGUGAGAUUGGCGGUGGUGGUUCACCACCAGCCAUCGAUGAUCGUUCGCUCCCCUAUGCGAGUGGGGGAGGGUGGGGCGUUGUCGCUGUCUGAGCGGC
rnacentral:snoRNA from 1 species